GAGGGUUACCUCUGUGGGGCUGGUCCCACCUAGAGGGGGGAGUAAAGGAGGGUGGGGGGGUGCUUGGAGGCGCAGAGCCAGGAUCCCCCCCCCCCCUUUUUUUUCUUUUUUUUUUUUGGUUGGUUUUCCUUUUUUCCCCCCUUUUUUGGUGGGGUGUGUGUGUUGUUGUUAUUGUGGUGAUGGUGGUUGGAAGAUUGGAAUCAAACAAGCAAACAAAAGCAAAAAGGCAGCGAGCGGGAGAGGGAAGCUUCUCCUUAUUGAUUGGCUGAUUCUUGCUGUCCUUCUUUUAAGAAAAUAAAGGCAGAAAAUUAUGGGGAGUUAUUAUUAUUUUUUUUUUUCUUGCUUCCUUUCGAGCCAACCACUGAAAAUCCACGGCUGGAAAUAACAGGGAAGCGUCCUUCCAAGGGAAUAAAGUAGACCAUUGCUUAAAGAGAGCUACUUUGGAAGGAAGAGGAGAAGUGAGACAGAAAUGGUGUUGGCGUGCCCCUCUCCCAGACUUUUUGCACCGUGAGUGACCACUCGCUGCAACCUUUCACUUCGGACACUUCAUUUUACGACCGCACGAAGGAACUCAGCUCAUUAAAAAAUCACCUCAAAUCACUGGGAUUCGCCUUAAUUUUUCAAGGCGUGGGGAGGGGAGGGGGGUGGGCGAGACACUUCGCAAAGGAAUAUUUUCCGUAGAGUCCCGAGCCGCCAAAAUAUCCAGCCCACGUCUGUAAAUGACAUAGUGUUAUACCAGUCCCCGUGUUUCCUUCAAAAGUCUACAGCCCUUUAAAUGUUUCCCUCAUGUUCCUCCACAAAAAGCAGCCUAAUUAUUUUCAGAAGAGACCUGGGGAACUCUGGCCGAUUUCAAGUGUGGAGGGAGAAAAUCCCACCUCAGCUGCGCUUGCAGAGGUGAUUUUAGGUGUUUUUCUUCCCAGCAAAGGUCACAUUCUCGAUUUUUUUGAGGCAAGGGGUGGCUCAACCCUCUGGUGAGACAGAAACUGGAUUUUUUAGCAGCUCCUUUCCCAAGAAGAGGAAAGGGCACAGUAGCCACUCAGUCCAUCUUUAUUAGAUUUUCAGAAAUAGGGGGUGUAUUUUUCCCUUCAGAGGGGCUACAUGUGUUGGGUUUUUCCUCCCCGUAUGCAGACAAUGAACUGUGCAGGAGAACGGUGAUUUUUCCACCGCCUAUUGUGAAAAUACUUUUAAAAAACAAGCUGCGUUAGCUGUGAAGAAAUAGUCUCCAUACCCGAAUAAGCUCAAGGACGGCACAAUGACCAUAUUCAUUUUUCCAGUACGCACCCACCUUCGUCCCCCAUACCCCAGGUUGCCCAUUCCAUACAGAAACCCCCCAAAACAGAAGAAAAGGGCAGUUAGGGACAGAGGCUCCUUAAUUAACAGCUAAUAGUCGAGGUAACUAUUUUCCUCCUCUAAUCAAUAGCAUUUCUAUUUUUAAAAUCCCAGUGCCUGCCCAUGCACUAAAAGCUGCUGUGCAAAUAGAAGGAUGGGAAAGCACA